GACGAAUGCUGGCGGCGUGCUUAACACAAGCAAGUCCAGCGGAUAGGCCCCUUCGGGGGUACUCGAGCUGCGAACGGGUGAGUAACACCUGAGCAACCUGCCCCUGACUCUGGGAUAACCCUGGGAAACCCGGUCUAAUACCGGAUACGACCAGCCUCCCCAUGGUGUGUUGGUGGAAAGUUUUUCAGUUGGGGAUGGGCUCGCCUUCUAUCAGCUUGUUGGUGGGGUGAUGGCCUACCAAGGCGACUACAGGUAACCGGCCUGAGAGGGCUACCGGUCACUCUGGGACUGAGACACGGCCCAGACUCCUACGGGAGGCAGAAGUGGGGAAUAUUGCCCAGUGGGCGGAAGCCUGACGCAACAACACCUCGUGGGGGAUGACGGCCUUCGGGUUGUAAACCUCUAUCAACACGGACGAAUCUUACCUGACGGUACCUGCAGAAUAACCGCCUGCUAACUACGUGCCAGCAGCCGCGGUAAUACGUACGGCGCAAGCGUUGUCCGGAAUUAUUGUGCGUAAAUAGCUCGUAGGCUGUUUGUCUCGUCUGUCAUGUAAUCACACAGGUUAUUCGUGGGUCUGCUUUGGAUACGGGCAGACUAUCCGCAGGUAGGGGAGAAUGGAAUUCCCGGUGUAGCAGUGAAGUGCGCAGAUCUCGGGAGGAACACCGGUGGCGACGGCGGUUCUCUGGGCCAGUACUGACGUUGAGGAGCGAGAGCGUGGGGAGCGAACAGGAUGAGAUACCCUGGUAGUUCACGCUGUAAACGUUGGGCUUCUAGGUGUGGGGAUCUUCCACGGAUUCCGUGCCGUAGCUAACGCAUUAAGCGCCCCGCGUAAAGAGUACAGUAGCAAGGCUAAAACUCAAUGGAAUUCACGGGGGCCCCCACUAGCGGCGGAGCAUGUUGCUUAGUUAGACGCAACGCGAAGAACCUUACCAAGGCUUGACAUCGCCGGAAAUCCUCCAGAGAUGGGGGGUCCUUUUUGGGCCGGUGACAGGUGGUGCAUGGCGGUCGUCAGCUAGUGUCGUGAGAUGUUGGGUUAAGUCCCGCAACGAGCGCAACCCUCAUUCCAUGUUGCCAGCACUUCGGGUGGGGACUCAUGGGAGACCCCCGGGGUCAACUCGGAGGAAGGUGGGGAAGACGUCAAGUCAUCAUGCCCCUUAUGUCCUGGGCUGCAAACAUGCUACAAUGGCCGGUACAGAGGGCUGCGAUACCCUGAGGUGGAGCGAAUCCCUUAAAGCCGGUCUCAGUUCGGAUCGAAGUAUGCAACUCGACUUAGUGAAGUCGGAGUCGCUAGUAAUCGCAGAUCAGCAACGCUGCGGUGACUACGUUCCCGGGCCGUGCACUCACC
rnacentral:rRNA from 1 species